rnacentral:misc_RNA from 1 species
GGAAGGAUCAUUACCAAAUCCAAAUACCCAACCCCAUGUGAACCUGUUUUGUCUGUCUUUGGGGGGAAAGUACGGUCUGGCUGUAGCGUUUUACGUUGCCGUUUCGCUUUGCUUUCCCCCAAAUGAGCCCUGCACCUCCGGUGCUGUCGGCUCAAUUGACUAAACCACAAUCUAAAAUUUCGUUGGAAUUAUCUUUAUUAAUCUUAAUAAAGGACAACUUUUAACGGUGGAUCUCUUGGCUCGUGGAUCGAUGAAGAACGCAGCAAACUGCGAUACGUAGUGUGAAUUGCAGAAUUCAGUGAAUCAUCGAAUCUUUGAACGCAAAUUGCGCUGUUGGGUAUUCCUGACAGCAUGCUUGGCUGAGUAUCAUCUGGAUAUAUCACAAAGUAUUUUUGCUUUGUGGAAUUGAGGCGUCACAUUGGCAACAAUGGGUCCCUUUUUAAAUGCAGUCAGGUGAAGGAUGUUAGCGUUCUUUUGCCACUAGUGUGUCAAUUGUCCUCUGGGCAUCAUGCACUAUGUCGGCAACUGGGCACUUUAGCUAAUGCUCUGAACCUUGUCAAUAACUCUUCUGAAACUUUGAUCUCAGCUCAAGCAAGACUACCCGCUGAAUUUAAGCAUAUUAAUAAGCGGAGGAAAAGAAACUAACAAGGAUUCCCUCAGUAACGGCGAGUGAAGUGGGAAAAGCUCAAAUUUUAAAGCUUCGUGGUUCCCCACGACGCGUUGUUAAACUAAAGAGGCGUUUUCUCGUUGCAGCCCCGGUACAAGUCCGUUGGAACGCGGCAUCAUGGAGGGUGAGAAUCCCGUACGUGACUGGGUGACUGUGUGUCUACGAUACGUUCUCCAAAGAGUCGGGUUGUUUGGGAAUGCAGCCCAAAAAGGGUGGUAAAUUUCAUCUAAGGCUAAAUAUUGCCACGAGACCGAUAGCGAACAAGUACCCGGUUGAGGGAAAGAUGAAAAGAACUUUGAAAAGAGAGUUAAAAAGUACGUGAAACCGUUAAAAGGGAAGCAAAUGGCACUAGCAUUUGUACCUGUCAUAAUCAAUCAGAUGUCUUAAAGCCGUGCUGCGUAGGGAGUGUCAAAGCCUCUUGUGGUACGUUCGGAGAGUUCAUUUGGUGCACUUGUGGCUGGUACAGGUCAACAUCAGUUCGGACUGGGAACACACGCUCGGCAGGAAGGUGGCUUGCAGCUUCGGUUGUAAGUGUUAUAGCCUGUCGUGAACGUUUCCGGGGCUGGACUGAGGAGUCGCAGGUCGUGGCCUCUGGCUAGAUCCCUGGCCUCUGGUAUAAGCAGUUCUGUUCCACUUGCAUAAGUAAGUAGUGCGGAGCCACGCGGUGGCCACCGGUUAGGUGUAUCAUAAACGACCUUCGGGAUGUUGACGAAAUGGUGUUAUCUGACCCGUCUUGAAACACGGACCAAGGAGUCUAACAUAUAUGCGAGUCUUUGGGUGGCAAACCCGCAGGCGCAAUGAAAGUAAAGGCACGUUCGGCGUGCUGAGGUGAGAUCCGCAAGGAGCAUCAUCGACCGAUCUGGAUGGUUUCCUGAAAGAUUUGAGUAAGAGCAUAUCUGUUGGGGACCCCGAAAGAUGGUGAACUAUGCCUGAAUAGGGUGAAGUCUGAGGAAACUCAGAUGGAAGCUCGUAGCGAUUCUGACGUGCAAAUCGAUCGUCAAAUUUGGGUAUAGGGGCGAAAGACUAAUCGAACCAUCUAGUAGCUGGUUCCCUC